AUGUCAAGGAGCCAAGCGCUUUCUCUGAGGUGUGCAGAACCGGAAGGGAAGAGUCUGCGUGUUCAGAUUCAGGCCCUCGCCGCGACCUCAGGACCUGCCCUCUGUGAGCCCCCCGCCCCCCAAGGCCUCCUGCCUCCUUCCCACCACAUCCGGGAGGUGGGCUGCUCCAUCUCUACGAGGGACUGGGAGACUUCUGCCAGGACCGUGCCCUGCUCUAUCAGGGACUUCACCUGUGGACACAGGAGACAGGACCGGAGGCGCGGGGCUGCGCCCUUCCGAGGAGAGGUGGUGUCUGCAGGAUUUGGUGACUGAGUGGCUGUGAAGGAUGAAGGAGGAGGAGUCACAGACAACCCUGAGGUCUCUCCAUUCCUGACUUGUUGGAUGGUGGUGCGAACAAGGACACAGGAGCAAAAGCAACUUUGGUGAGAAAAGCAAUGUGUUCAGUUUUGGAUCUGAUGCAUUUGAGAUGCCUCUGGGACAGCCAGUGUGGAUACUCGGUGAGUGACUAGAUGGUCAGCUAUGCAGUCAGGAAAGAUGAUGGACUGGUGAAGAAGGUCUGAGUGUCGCUGGAACAAAGGCAGUAGUCAAAGAAAUGGAAAUGCAUGAAUUCAGUUACGGCAGACUUCUCCAUCCGCCCCAACAGGCCCCGUGCUUAGUACCCACAAAAACGUGAGCAGAAAGUGAGUGAAGGGGUAGACAGAAAUUGGGGAGAAACGUCAGCUACUUUGUCGUCGUUUCAUCACCGCUAAGUUGUGUCUGAUACCUUCAAGACCUCAUGGACUGUCUCCUGCAUUGCAGGCAGAUUCUUUUACCACUGAGCCACCAGGGAAGCCCGCAGUUACUUUGUUGGUUGAAAGCGUGUUAGUCGCUCCAUUGUGUCUGACUCUUUGCAAACCCAUAGACUGGGGGCCUCUGUCCAUGGCAUUCUCCAGGCAAGAAUCCUGGAGUGGGUGGCCAUUCCAUUCCCUUCUCCAGAGGAUCUUCCCUUCCCAGGGAUCGAACCAGGGUCUCCUGCAUUAGCAGGCAGAUUCUUUGCCUUUUGACCUUGUGGUGGUUUAGUUGCUCGGUCAUGUCCGACUCUUGAGACCCCAUGGGCUGUAGCCUGCCAGGCUCCUCUGUCCAUGCGAUUCUCCAGGCAAGAAUACUGGUAGGUUGCCAUUUCCUUCUCCAGGGGAUCUUCCCAACCCAGAGAUCGGGAAACUGAUGAGAGGAAGCCUCUGAGGGGGAACUUGCUUUUGCUGCCAUCUAGUGGCUAUUCCUGGUAGCUAGUGCUUCCUUGGUAGCUCAGACGGUAAAGCGUCCGCCUACAACG
rnacentral:lncRNA from 1 species